AAAAGAUCACUAAACUCGGAAAAACUCUCCAGCGGAGUCAUUUUACCGAAUUUCAGCGGUUUCUCAUCCGGUUACAAGGGUCUUGAAUUGAAUAAAUAUUCUGAUAUGGGCAAAAAUGUCCAAAAGAUUAUUGGGGCAAGUGAACUCACAGACUGUUUCGUUCCCAAAGUUGACCAAUCAACCGACAUUCACUUCGUCUUCUCUGGUGAAGUUUACUGGCUGUAAACACUCCGAGUCGGACUCCGAUUCCAUGUUCACAAUUCGAAGACCGCCGACCAUUGACGGAAGAGAAGCAACCCCAUUGCAUUCGGCCUGUGCACCUAAAACUAAUUUGGGUUCUUCGUCCAGACAAGUACACCCGGAUUCAGAAUUACACAGUCCAUGGUCGGGGAUACCAUGGUGGGUCGCGAAUAAAUCCUUAACGAAAUUCAUUUGAUCAUCGUCGUCGUCGUCGUCUUCUGGGCUGUAGUAGAGGAAAUUCUGGUCGGAGUGCACAGAUUCAGAAUGCUAAGAGCCGGAUUCGGAUUCUGAAAUGGCGGUGAAAUUGAGGUUGUCAUCAAUCAAGAAGGAAGGAUUAGGAGGAGAGAGGGAAAUUACAGUCUCUAUUUUUAUCGCCGGAGAAGAUGAAGUCAAUCUAGGGGUUCAAUUCUGAGGGGCGAGACGAGCUCUGUUCUUUCCAGUUAUCCGAUUCCAGAAGAUGAGAGAGAAUUGGGUCAAUUACGUUUCUUAAGCUUAGAUGGCUGAGAUCCCAUAAACUCCCAAAGGUCGGAUGCCAAACAUGGCCUCAUCACGAUUUUCCGGCCAGAUCUUCUAUCAAAUCUGUGAUGAAUACACAGAGUGGGUGAUGGGAUGUCCCGCUAACUGCACGUAAACUUCUUGCUUCUAGUUGUUCCGGUCAGUCUUGCCGGUGCCCUCUGAGUCAUCUCUCUCAGGCCUCUCAGCCUGGCGUAGAGUUUGAAAGUAGGGAAUAGCCCACGGUUUCACCAGUUUCAAUAAUCUUUUAGACAUUUUUGCCCUUUGACUAUAUUCCUCCAUUCCACGUUGCCCAUGCCACCGGAUGAGAAACCGUUGAGAUUCGGUAAAAUGACUACGUUGGAGAGUUUUUGCGAGUUUAGUGACCUUUUUGGCCACAAAAAAAGUUUAGUGACCAAA
rnacentral:lncRNA from 1 species